rnacentral:rRNA from 1 species
AACGAACGCUGGCGGCAUGCCUAACACAUGCAAGUCGAACGAGACCUUCGGGUCUAGUGGCGCACGGGUGCGUAACGCGUGGGAACCUGCCCUUAGGUUCGGAAUAACUCCCCGAAAGGGGUGCUAAUACCGGAUAAUGUCUUCGGACCAAAGAUUUAUCGCCUUUGGAUGGGCCCGCGUUGGAUUAGCUAGUUGGUAGGGUAAAAGCCUACCAAGGCGACGAUCCAUAGCUGGUCUGAGAGGAUGAUCAGCCACACUGGGACUGAGACACGGGCCAGACUCCUACGGGAGGCAGCAGUGGGGAAUAUUGGACAAUGGGCGAAAGCCUGAUCCAGCAAUGCCGCGUGAGUGAUGAAGGCCUUAGGGUUGUAAAGCUCUUUUACCCGGGAUGAUAAUGACAGUACCGGGAGAAUAAGCUCCGGCUAACUCCGUG